rnacentral:snRNA from 11 species
GGAUGUGAGGGUGAUCUGGCUGCGACAUCUGUCACCCCAUUGAUCGCCAGGGUUGAUUCGGCUGAUCUGGCUGGCUAGGCGGGUGUCCCCUUCCUCCCUCACCGCUCCAUGUGCAUCCCUCCCAAAGCUACGCGCUCGGUGGAAGAGGACGACGUCCCAGGUAUAGAAGGAGUGUACUUGCAAGGCCCUAAAGUUGACAAACAAGAUUAUAAGUAUCGGGCGUUCGCAGACGACGUGAUAUGCAUUAUAGAAAAUCCAAUCCAGAAUAUUAAAAAUUGGCUUUCGAAAAUU